rnacentral:rRNA from 1 species
GACGAACGCUGGCGGCGUGCUUAACACAUGCAAGUCGAACGGCAAGGCCCUGCUUUUGUGGGGUGCUCGAGUGGCGAACGGGUGAGUAACAUGGGAGUAACCUGCCCUUGACUUUGGGGUAACUUCAGGAAACUGGGGCUAAUACCGGAUAGGAGCUGCUGCUGCCGGGUGGGGGUUGGAAAGUUUCGGCGGUUGGGGAUGGACUCGCGGCUUAUCAGCUUGUUGGUUGGGUAGUGGCUUACCCAGGCUUCGGCAGGUAGCCGGCCCGGGAGGGUGGCCGGCCACAAUGCUACUGCGAGACGGCGCAGACUGGUAUGGUGGGCAGCAGGGGGGAAUAUUGCACAAUGAGCGGAAGUGUGAUGUAGAAACCCUGCGGUCGGGAUGACGUCCUGCGGGUUGUAAACCGCUUUGGGCUGUGACGAAGCGUGAGUGACGGUAAUGGGUAAAGAAGCACCGGCUAACUACGUG